GUGGGGAAUAUUGGACAAUGGGCGAAAGCCUGAUCCAGCCAUGCCGCGUGUGUGAAGAAGGUCUUCGGAUUGUAAAGCACUUUAAGUUGGGAGGAAGGGCAGUAAGUUAAUACCUUGCUGUUUUGACGUUACCGACAGAAUAAGCACCGGCUAACUUCGUGCCAGCAGCCGCGGUAAUACGAAGGGUGCAAGCGUUAAUCGGAAUUACUGGGCGUAAAGCGCGCGUAGGUGGUUUUGUAAGUUGGAGGUGAAAUCCCCGGGCUCAACCUGGGAACUGCCUCCAAAACUGCAUGACUAGAGUACGGUAGAGGGUAGUGGAAUUUCCUGUGUAGCGGUGAAAUGCGUAGAUAUAGGAAGGAACACCAGUGGCGAAGGCGACUACCUGGACUGAUACUGACACUGAGGUGCGAAAGCGUGGGGAGCAAACAGGAUUAGAAACCCUUGUAGUCC
rnacentral:rRNA from 1 species